CCAAGCGUGUUGUAUUUUUCCGAUUUGCUGCUAAUUUACGAAGUGCGAUAUUAAAAUAAACUUAACAAAAGUCAAAUAAAAGACGGGAACAAUUCUGGCACAUAGUUCGUUUCGGUUAAUCAUACGUAAAUCGCGUGUUAAACGUAAUAUUAAACUACAAAAAGUUAUGGCGUCCCCUUCUCCUUUUCGUACGAAUUUAAAUCGGCGUUUGCGUAUAGGAUCUCGGGACGCGAACACGUUAAUUUUGAUUUUGUUGUUAAAUUCAACGCUUAAAUUAACAAAAACCGGCGGGGAAGUGUUCACAAAUCGGUCUUUUCGAUGUCGUGUUAAAUGUUAUCGCAAGAACAAAUAGAUGGCGUCCUAUUUUAAAUUCGUUUGUUUACGUUUAAAACUUAACGUUUUGUGCCCCCUGUUUUCGUGUUUGAAUCAAGACGCCUAAGAUUUCAUUGAUAUGUUGAUGUGGGUUCUUGACGAACGAGGAGUGCCGGGGAAGUGUGCAGUGUUUCAUCAUUACUUUGGUUGAUAUGGUUCUUCCCAGGACAGACUGAAUUAUUGAGGCUAAAGGAUUGCAGAAAGGCGGCCUCAUAAGGUAGGAUUUUUCCUUUUAUGCAUGGUGUAUUGCAUGUCAUUUUUUGUACGGGGGGCAAAAGUGAAUAGUGAAUAUCAACCAGAAGGAAGACCAAUAAUUGUUCUGAGCAUGAGCUUCGUGUGUAUUUUCCCUGUCUGUCAUCCUAGUGACGUACGAUUGACUGCAAUGAUUCUUAGGAUAGACUUUUUCGCAGCGUCCAUCUGUUUCCUUCAUAUUGGCGAGUGUGACUGUGAAUUCACAGCCAUACCAGCUCUGUGAUGCAAACAGAUUUACUCUGCGAAUAAGCCUAAAGAAUCAUUGGUGCCGUUUUUCCGUUCCCAAGCUGAGGGACUUUGAGAAUUAUUACAUUUUCAUUUAUUAUUGCACGAAGUUCAUCUUAGAGGAAGGUAAGUGCGUGGUCAUAAUAUAAUAAUGGAUUACUUCAUCAACUAAAAACUUUAUGUGGUUACCUAGCUACGUACUAAUCUCAUCGAUUGUUACAGGCGCCAACGUCGCUCAAUCUGCUGGUGAGGAUUAUGCUGAUCGCCAGUGCCGGAUUAAAUUUUCCGAAAGCCCCCCUCCACCCCUCCCUUUAUCAAAAAUUUCAGUUCCAACUUUUACCUUUUAAGACUGUCAACAAGCAAUUGAACAAGAAACUAAAUUUUUUGGUUCUCUGAUCGAUUAUUGAGAUUAUUGUUUGUAGCGUCCAAUUAUUUUGAAAUUAUACCUGCUUGCCACACUCUGUGGUAUUUUUUAAUGGUCAAUAAGAAGUUACAGAUAUUUCCAAAUUUUACGGGAACAUUCGUAUUACUUGUAUUCCCCCCGGGUUUCCAAGCGCUGUAGCCCCCAUUGUCUCCCUCUUAAUCCAGCGCUGCCAACGACCUCUGCGAUGGAUCAGCUCGAAUUCAGGCCUGCUUUCGACUCAGUUCAACGAUUAUAUCGACAUGGAUCACGCAAACGAGUUAUUGGUAAUGGCGUUCGAGGAGAAUCCAUGAUCGUGAAGGCCUACGGUGAUGGUGCCAGACUGUAUUAAUAAGGUUAAGAUUGUAGAAGUGCAGCCUUAUAAAGGUAGGAUUUUUCUUUUCUAUGCAUGGUUGUAUUAUUUUGCAGCAGUGGGGGAAAAGUGAAGUGUAUAGUGCAACUAAAAGUGAUCUUUAGUGACUCAGUUUUUCAACUGGGUUGAUUAUUCCUAAGGUCUCUCUCGCGGCAUCAAUCAGUUUGUAUCGAUCGGCAUGACUAUGACUUCAUAGCCAUACCAAUUUUACGAAGCGAAAUGAUUUUUUUCUGCGAAUCUCACUGUGAUAAAAGAUACCGGGUGAUUCAUUAGGAGUGAUAAACGCUUGAAUUUCGCGCGUAAGGUUUUAGUAUUUUUUGCAUUGUUAGAU